AUUGAACGCUGGCGGCAGGCCUAACACAUGCAAGUCGAGCGGCAGCGGGAAAGUAGCUUGCUACUUUUGCCGGCGAGCGGCGGACGGGUGAGUAAUGCCUGGGAAAUUGCCCAGUCGAGGGGGAUAACAGUUGGAAACGACUGCUAAUACCGCAUACGCCCUACGGGGGAAAGCAGGGGACCUUCGGGCCUUGCGCGAUUGGAUAUGCCCAGGUGGGAUUAGCUAGUUGGUGAGGUAAUGGCUCACCAAGGCGACGAUCCCUAGCUGGUCUGAGAGGAUGAUCAGCCACACUGGAACUGAGACACGGUCCAGACUCCUACGGGAGGCAGCAGUGGGGAAUAUUGCACAAUGGGGGAAACCCUGAUGCAGCCAUGCCGCGUGUGUGAAGAAGGCCUUCGGGUUGUAAAGCACUUUCAGCGAGGAGGAAAGGUCAGUAGCUAAUAUCUGCUGGCUGUGACGUUACUCGCAGAAGAAGCACCGGCUAACUACGUG
rnacentral:rRNA from 1 species